GAGUUUGAUCCUGGCUCAGGAUGAACGCUGGCGGCGUGCCUAAUACAUGCAAGUCGAACGAAACUUCUUUAUCACCGAGUGCUUGCACUCACCGAUAAAGAGUUGAGUGGCGAACGGGUGAGUAACACGUGGGCAACCUGCCCAAAAGAGGGGGAUAACACUUGGAAACAGGUGCUAAUACCGCAUAACCAUAGUUACCGCAUGGUAACUAUGUAAAAGGUGGCUAUGCUACCGCUUUUGGAUGGGCCCGCGGCGCAUUAGCUAGUUGGUGGGGUAAAGGCUUACCAAGGCAAUGAUGCGUAGCCGAACUGAGAGGUUGAUCGGCCACAUUGGGACUGAGACACGGCCCAAACUCCUACGGGAGGCAGCAGUAGGGAAUCUUCCACAAUGGGCGAAAGCCUGAUGGAGCAACGCCGCGUGGGUGAAGAAGGUCUUCGGAUCGUAAAACCCUGUUGUUAGAGAAGAAAGUGCGUGAGAGUAACUGUUCACGUUUCGACGGUAUCUAACCAGAAAGCCACGGCUAACUACGUGCCAGCAGCCGCGGUAAUACGUAGGUGGCAAGCGUUAUCCGGAUUUAUUGGGCGUAAAGGGAACGCAGGCGGUCUUUUAAGUCUGAUGUGAAAGCCUUCGGCUUAACCGGA
rnacentral:rRNA from 1 species